rnacentral:rRNA from 1 species
GAUGAACGCUAGCGGCAGGCUUAAUACAUGCAAGUCGAGGGGCAUCAAGGUACACGAAAGUGUAUUGUUGGCGACCGGCGGACGGGUGAGUAAUAGGUAGGUAACCUACCUCAUACUGAGGCAUAGCUGGGAGAAAUUCCAGGUAAUUCCUCAUGAGGUUAUAUGACACAUGUGAUAUAAUCAAAGGUAUCGCAAGGUACUGGUAUGAGAUGGGCUUACUGACCAUUAGCUAGUUGGUGAGAUAAGAGCUCACCAAGGCGAAGAUGGUUAGGGGUUUUGAGAGAGAGAUCCCCCACAUUGGAACUGAGAUACGGUCCAGACUCCUACGGGAGGCAGCAGUAGGGAAUAUUGGGCAAUGGGCGGAAGCCUGACCCAGCCAUGCCGCGUGAAGGAAGACGGCCUUAUGGGUUGUAAACUUCUUUACUAUGCGACUAACUAGAUUUACAGAUAAUUCUAUAGAAUGUAGCAUAGCAAAAAGCACCGGA